CAGUAUUACAGAGGAGGUUAUGCUCCACUUCCCUACUCUCUACCCGCUGUCAGCCUGAGGCUGAAACUGAUUAAUGAGGCCGGGUUGACUCCCUUGUUCAAGGAACAAAGAAUCUUUGGAGAGUAGCUGAUUCCUUGUCUUAGGCUGAGGAAAAAUCGACAUGGAUUUGAAAAUCUUAUUUUUGCUGGAAAUCAAGAGUGCUUUCAGAAAAUCUCAAAGAGUACAAAAAGGCUGGAACACAGAUGCACAGUGACCCAAGUUCUGUCACAUAGCAAUGGACAAUACCCUAGUCCUUGGAGAAGAGAGGAACUCAUAUCCCUGAAUGGCCUUGUGGAAGAGCUGCCCUGUUAGCUGGAGCAGGUGGAAUGUCAUCUGAGAAAGAAAUAUACCCGUAUCUUAAUUUAAGCCGUUGUAUUUUCAGAUCUCUUUGCUUUUACCCUUAAAAAUAUA
rnacentral:lncRNA from 1 species